rnacentral:rRNA from 1 species
GACGAACGCUGGCGGCGCGCUUAACACAUGCAAGUCGAGCGGUAAGGCCCUUUCGGGGGUACGACGAGCGGCGAACGGGUGAGUAACACGUGGGUGACCUGCCCUUAGCUCUGGGAUAAGCCUGGGAAACUGGGUCUAAUACCGGAUAUGACUCCAUAACGCAUGUUGUGGGGUGGAAAGCCUUGUGCGGCUAGGGAUGGGCCCGCGGCCUAUCAGCUUGUUGGUGGGGUGAUGGCCUACCAAGGCGACGACGGGUAGCCGGCCUGAGAGGGCGACCGGCCACACUGGGACUGAGACACGGCCCAGACUCCUACGGGAGGCAGCAGUGGGGAAUCUUGCGCAAUGGGCGAAAGCCUGACGCAGCGACGCCGCGUGGGGAUGACGGCCUGG